rnacentral:rRNA from 1 species
UACGAAGGGGGCUAGCGUUGCUCGGAAUCACUGGGCGUAAAGCGCACGUAGGCGGAUUUGUAAGUCAGGGGUGAAAUCCCGGGGCUCAACCUCGGAACUGCCUCUGAUACUGCAAAUCUCGAGUCCGGAAGAGGUGGGUGGAAUUCCUAGUGUAGAGGUGAAAUUCGUAGAUAUUAGGAAGAACACCGGUGGCGAAGGCGGCCCACUGGUCCGGUACUGACGCUGAGGUGCGAAAGCGUGGGGAGCAAACAGG